GGGUUGUGAGGUUAAGCGACUAAGCGUACACGGUGGAUGCCCUGGCAGUCAGAGGCGAUGAAGGACGUGCUAAUCUGCGAUAAGCGUCGGUAAGGUGAUAUGAACCGUUAUAACCGGCGAUUUCCGAAUGGGGAAACCCAGUGUGAUUCGUCACACUAUCAUUAACUGAAUCCAUAGGUUAAUGAGGCGAACCGGGGGAACUGAAACAUCUAAGUACCCCGAGGAAAAGAAAUCAACCGAGAUUCCCCCAGUAGCGGCGAGCGAACGGGGAGCAGCCCAGAGCCUGAAUCAGUGUGUGUGUUAGUGGAAGCGUCUGGAAAGGCGCGCGAUACAGGGUGACAGCCCCGUACACAAAAAUGCACAUACUGUGAGCUCGAUGAGUAGGGCGGGACACGUGGUAUCCUGUCUGAAUAUGGGGGGACCAUCCUCCAAGGCUAAAUACUCCUGACUGACCGAUAGUGAACCAGUACCGUGAGGGAAAGGCGAAAAGAACCCCGGCGAGGGGAGUGAAAAAGAACCUGAAACCGUGUACGUACAAGCAGUGGGAGCACGCUUAGGCGUGUGACUGCGUACCUUUUGUAUAAUGGGUCAGCGACUUAUAUUCUGUAGCAAGGUUAACCGAAUAGGGGAGCCGAAGGGAAACCGAGUCUUAACUGGGCGUUAAGUUGCAGGGUAUAGACCCGAAACCCGGUGAUCUAGCCAUGGGCAGGUUGAAGGUUGGGUAACACUAACUGGAGGACCGAACCGACUAAUGUUGAAAAAUUAGCGGAUGACUUGUGGCUGGGGGUGAAAGGCCAAUCAAACCGGGAGAUAGCUGGUUCUCCCCGAAAGCUAUUUAGGUAGCGCCUCGUGAAUUCAUCUCCGGGGGUAGAGCACUGUUUCGGCAAGGGGGUCAUCCCGACUUACCAACCCGAUGCAAACUGCGAAUACCGGAGAAUGUUAUCACGGGAGACACACGGCGGGUGCUAACGUCCGUCGUGAAGAGGGAAACAACCCAGACCGCCAGCUAAGGUCCCAAAGUCAUGGUUAAGUGGGAAACGAUGUGGGAAGGCCCAGACAGCCAGGAUGUUGGCUUAGAAGCAGCCAUCAUUUAAAGAAAGCGUAAUAGCUCACUGGUCGAGUCGGCCUGCGCGGAAGAUGUAACGGGGCUAAACCAUGCACCGAAGCUGCGGCAGCGACGCU
rnacentral:rRNA from 1 species